GAAAAUUAAGUGAAAUGUGACUUUGGAGCUUGGCUAGCAAAAGGAAAGGAAAGGAAAGCAAAGGAAAGGAAAGGAAAGGAAAAAAAGAAAAGAAAAAAGAAAGCGAGAAAGGAAAUCAAGUGAAAUGACAAACUACUUACUGGGAGAAAGUUUUUGUAACCUCAGUGACAGAUAAAAGCGUUUCUCACCUCUGGAGGACUCAGCAUUCAAGGUGCCAUCUUGGAAGCAGAGAGCAGCCCUCACUAGACUACAAACCUGCUGGCGCUUUGAUCUUGGACUUCCCACCCACCAGAACUCUCUCCACUCCCUUCCUAGACUUUCUUCAUAGAGCCAGAAGAGGGUACCUGAAUUGGCCUGGACUGCUC
rnacentral:lncRNA from 1 species